UCCCUCUUGCGCCACCACACAAGUUGUCCCUAAAGAGGAAGGGGCCUUGCUCAUCUUUGAAUUGUGCGAGGUCGCGUUGACAUUCCUGACCAGGGGCAUGCUUGUGUGUGGUCAUUGUUCUACUUUCCCACUGCAGGACGCUGCAGCUUUGCCUCCCACCACUGGCCGCUUCGCGUGAGGUUCCUUUCCGUCCGAGAUGUGAGUAGAUAGAUACCUCCCUGCAGUUUCCACAAUGGAGAAAGGGAGAAGAAUGAUCAGGAGUUUGUGAGAGACUCUUGGUCUGCUGUGUACGGGAGGUAUUCGAUCAUGUAUAACCUGACAGAGGUGCUGGAUGAGUGCAGUGCAGAUGUGCUUCAGUUCAGGCGCAAUGUGGAUGGCGAUGACAUAUAUACUCAAUGGUGGUCCAUUAGUGGAUUCCAGGAGUGGAGAUGGCCAGGAUUUGAUCUGAGUGCGCUGCAGAAGGAACUUCAGAUGCUCAUUCUGUACGUGGUUGAAGACUGUGGUUCACUGAGCAUAGGAGCAAUAAGCAACGAUGAAUAGAGAGCUAAGAUUGAUCAAGAUAUCUAAAGAGCCAGAUGCACAACAAGAUGCCAUGCUCAAUGAUGGCCCAUUAGUGGAUUUCAGGAGUGGGGAUGGCUAGGAUUUGAUCUGAGUGCGCUGGAGAAGGAGCUUCAGAUGCUCAUUCCGUACGUGGCUGAAGACUGUGGUUCACUGAGCAGUAAGUCCUUCUGGCCUCUUUCAUAUUCGUCAUAAUCAGAAUUCUUUAACAUGCUCAAUAUAGGAUUCGGUUUGUGAUGUUGUAAUUGGAUUGUUUUCUGUAGAUCUUUGGAUAUUAUUUUAUACCAGCGCCUGAGAGUCGUAAUUCUA